rnacentral:rRNA from 5 species
AAAUUGAAGAGUUUGAUCAUGGCUCAGAUUGAACGCUGGCGGCAGGCCUAACACAUGCAAGUCGAACGGUAACAGGAAGCAGCUUGCUGCUUUGCUGACGAGUGGCGGACGGGUGAGUAAUGUCUGGGAAACUGCCUGAUGGAGGGGGAUAACUACUGGAAACGGUGGCUAAUACCGCAUAACGUCGCAAGACCAAAGAGGGGGACCUUCGGGCCUCUUGCCAUCAGAUGUGCCCAGAUGGGAUUAGCUAGUUGGUGAGGUAACGGCUCACCAAGGCGACGAUCCCUAGCUGGUCUGAGAGGAUGACCAGCCACACUGGAACUGAGACACGGUCCAGACUCCUACGGGAGGCAGCAGUGGGGAAUAUUGCACAAUGGGCGCAAGCCUGAUGCAGCCAUGCCGCGUGUAUGAAGAAGGCCUUCGGGUUGUAAAGUACUUUCAGCGGGGAGGAAGGUGUUGUGGUUAAUAACCGCAGCAAUUGACGUUACCCGCAGAAGAAGCACCGGCUAACUCCGUGCCAGCAGCCGCGGUAAUACGGAGGGUGCAAGCGUUAAUCGGAAUUACUGGGCGUAAAGCGCACGCAGGCGGUCUGUCAAGUCGGAUGUGAAAUCCCCGGGCUCAACCUGGGAACUGCAUUCGAAACUGGCAGGCUUGAGUCUUGUAGAGGGGGGUAGAAUUCCAGGUGUAGCGGUGAAAUGCGUAGAGAUCUGGAGGAAUACCGGUGGCGAAGGCGGCCCCCUGGACAAAGACUGACGCUCAGGUGCGAAAGCGUGGGGAGCAAACAGGAUUAGAUACCCUGGUAGUCCACGCCGUAAACGAUGUCUACUUGGAGGUUGUGCCCUUGAGGCGUGGCUUCCGGAGCUAACGCGUUAAGUAGACCGCCUGGGGAGUACGGCCGCAAGGUUAAAACUCAAAUGAAUUGACGGGGGCCCGCACAAGCGGUGGAGCAUGUGGUUUAAUUCGAUGCAACGCGAAGAACCUUACCUGGUCUUGACAUCCACAGAAGAAUCCAGAGAUGGAUUUGUGCCUUCGGGAACUGUGAGACAGGUGCUGCAUGGCUGUCGUCAGCUCGUGUUGUGAAAUGUUGGGUUAAGUCCCGCAACGAGCGCAACCCUUAUCCUUUGUUGCCAGCGGUCCGGCCGGGAACUCAAAGGAGACUGCCAGUGAUAAACUGGAGGAAGGUGGGGAUGACGUCAAGUCAUCAUGGCCCUUACGACCAGGGCUACACACGUGCUACAAUGGCGCAUACAAAGAGAAGCGACCUCGCGAGAGCAAGCGGACCUCAUAAAGUGCGUCGUAGUCCGGAUUGGAGUCUGCAACUCGACUCCAUGAAGUCGGAAUCGCUAGUAAUCGUGGAUCAGAAUGCCACGGUGAAUACGUUCCCGGGCCUUGUACACACCGCCCGUCACACCAUGGGAGUGGGUUGCAAAAGAAGUAGGUAGCUUAACCUUCGGGAGGGCGCUUACCACUUUGUGAUUCAUGACUGGGGUGAAGUCGUAACAAGGUAACCGUAGGGGAACCUGCGGUUGGAUCACCUCCUUACCUUAAAGAA